UAAUUUCAACCGUUCGCUCCUGAUUAUUCCCCAAAUUCAUUGUUUUAUCUUUCAAAAUUUUAGCAUUCCCACUUAAUUCAUUGUUUUUCACCAUUCUUCUCAUUUCCUCACCUGCCUUCCGAACUACUCCAAGAUACACGAUGCGUCAAAGAUAGAGUAACUUAUAGUUUUUAGUAUGAACAUCAACUCUUCCGAAGCAAAUUACCCCAAGGGCUUCUCAAAUGCUGAUCGUAUUGCUUAUUCGACAAUGUGAGCUGUUAACGCAUUUUGAAACGGUUAGAUUUUUCAUAAGGUUGUUUUAUAGUUAGGAGUUGUAAACGAGCCGUGUCUCUUGUGCUACUUGGAAUGGCUCGCUAAAGUUUGAAUGGCUCGCUAAGCAUGGAACAAUUAGUAAAUGCGUUAAGAAUUAUAAAGAAGAGUAACAACAUUGUUGACUCAUGUGUGGUGAUGACUAAUGCAUCGUCAAAGUCGAGUACUCGUAGUUCGUAUCAAAGAAUUGAUGAGGCGCAAUGCUGAAGGCACAUGGAGCAGAGUUAGAACAAGUUAAAGAAGAAAAAAUCUUAUAAUAAAGAAUAUUGAAGAAAAUGCAAAAUUAUGCACCGAAAUGUGAAGACUUCAAAUGUUGUCACAAAACUCGCCACAAAAGUUUCGAUCAACUUAAGAUAUGUGAAAUUUGUUGUAUUGUAUUGAAAUUUUUUGAAUUUUUAUUGUGAUGCAUAUGGAUAAGUUGAUUAAAUUAUUUAUUUUUUUGGAUC